rnacentral:tRNA from 1 species
GGGCGUAUAGUGUAGUUUGGAUAACACUUCGGCCUUCUAAGCCGAAACCGGGGGUUCAAAUCCUCCUACGCCCGCCA